GACGAACGCUGGCGGCGUGCCUAAUACAUGCAAGUUGAGCGCUGAAGGUUGGUACUUGUACCAACUGGAUGAGCAGCGAACGGGUGAGUAACGCGUGGGGAAUCUGCCUUUGAGCGGGGGACAACAUUUGGAAACGAAUGCUAAUACCGCAUAAAAACUUUAAACACAAGUUUUAAGUUUGAAAGAUGCAAUUGCAUCACUCAAAGAUGAUCCCGCGUUGUAUUAGCUAGUUGGUGAGGUAAAGGCUCACCAAGGCUAUGAUACAUAGCCGACCUGAGAGGGUGAUCGGCCACAUUGGGACUGAGACACGGCCCAAACUCCUACGGGAGGCAGCAGUAGGGAAUCUUCGGCAAUGGACGAAAGUCUGACCGAGCAACGCCGCGUGAGUGAAGAAGGUUUUCGGAUCGUAAAACUCUGUUGGUAGAGAAGAACGUGGGUGAGAGUGGAAAGCUCAUCAAGUGACGGUAACUACCCAGAAAGGGACGGCUAACUACGU
rnacentral:rRNA from 1 species